rnacentral:rRNA from 1 species
AACGAACGCUGGCGGCAUGCCUAACACAUGCAAGUCGAACGAGACCUUCGGUCUAGUGGCGCACGGGUGCGUAACGCGUGGGAAUCUGCCCUUGGGUUCGGAAUAACAGUUAGAAAUGACUGCUAAUACCGGAUAAUGUCUUCGGACCAAAGAUUUAUCGCCCAGGGAUGAGCCCGCGUAGGAUUAGCUAGUUGGUGAGGUAAAGGCUCACCAAGGCGACGAUCCUUAGCUGGUCUGAGAGGAUGAUCAGCCACACUGGGACUGAGACACGGCCCAGACUCCUACGGGAGGCAGCAGUGGGGAAUAUUGGACAAUGGGCGGAAAGGACCUGAUCCAGCAAUGCCGCGUGAGUGAUGAAGGCCUUAGGGUUGUAAAGCUCUUUACCCGGGAUGAUAAUGACAGUACCGGGAGAAUAAGCCCCGGCUAACUCCGUGCCAGCAGCCGCGGUAAU